rnacentral:rRNA from 1 species
UGAGGGUUGAUAGGUUAAGAGCUAGAUGCUGAGACGUUCCCACAAAAGAAGCACCGGCUAACUCCGUGCCAGCAGCCGCGGUAAUACGGAGGGUGCGAGCGUUAAUCGGAAUUAUUGGGCGUAAAGGGUGCGUAGGUGGUAUGAUAAGUUAUCUGUGAAAACCCUGGGCUUAACCUGGGGGAGAGAGAUAAGACUGUUGAACUAGAGUAUGGGAGAGGGCAGUGGAAUUUCCGGUGUAGCGGUGAAAUGCGUAGAGAUCGGAAGGAACACCGGUGGCGAAGGCGGCUGCCUGGCCUAAUACUGACACUGAGGCACGAAAGCGUGGGGAGCAAACAGGAUUAGAUCCCUGGUAGUCCACGCUGUAAACGAUGUCAACUAGCUGUUGGUCUCAUUAAAGAGAUUAGUGGCGUAGCAAACGCGAUAAGUUGAC